GUUAAGUGAAUAAGGGCGCACGGCGGAUGCCUUGGCACUAGGAGCCGAUGAAGGACGGGACUAACACCGAUAUGC
rnacentral:rRNA from 1 species